AGGACAUGCAUUUGCACAAAUUCUUCCAGUACUGCCAGCUGGUUCAAGCAGGAGCUAAGGAAGUCCCAGGGGACCUUGUUAAAUACUUAAAGUGUUUGCACGCCAUGGAGAUCCAAGUAAUGAUUCAGUUUCUACCUGUAAUUCUUAUGCAACUAUUUAGAGUCCUUACAAAUGUGACCCAGGAAGAUGAAGUAGCUGUCAACUGCACCAUGGUCCUCCUGCACAUCGUGUCCAAAUGCCACGAGGAAGGCCUGGAGCACUACCUGCGCUCCUUCCUAAAG